GCACAAGCAGCGGAGCAUGUGGUUUAAUUCGAAGCAACGCGAAGAACCUUACCAGGGCUUGACAUCCCCUGACCGCGUAUGAAAGUACGUUUUCACCCUCGGGUGACAGGGAGACAGGUGGUGCAUGGUUGUCGUCAGCUCGUGUCGUGAGAUGUUGGGUUAAGUCCCGCAACGAGCGCAACCCCUACGUUUAGUCGCUAACAGGUGAAGCUGAGCACUCUAGACGAACUGCCGUUGACAAAACGGAGGAAGGUGGGAUGACGUCAAAUCAUCAUGCCCCUUAUGUUCUGGGCUACACACGUGCUACAAUGGCCGGUACAGACGGAGGCGAAGCCGCGAGGCGGAGCAAAUCCGAAAAAGCCGGUCUCAGUUCGGAUUGCAGGCUGCAAUUCGCCUGCAUGAAGUCGGAAUCGCUAGUAAUCGCAGGUCAGCAUACUGCGGUGAAUACGUUCCCGGGCCUU
rnacentral:rRNA from 1 species